rnacentral:rRNA from 1 species
CCUACGGGCGGCAGCAGUGAGGAAUAUUGGUCAAUGGGCGCGAGCCUGAACCAGCCAAGUAGCGUGAAGGAUGACUGCCCUACGGGUUGUAAACUUCUUUUAUAAAGGAAUCAAGUGAGGCACGUGUGCCUUUUUGUAUGUACUUUAUGAAUAAGGAUCGGCUAACUCCGUGCCAGCAGCCGCGGUAAUACGGAGGAUCCGAGCGUUAUCCGGAUUUAUUGGGUUUAAAGGGAGCGUAGAUGGGUUGUUAAGUCAGUUGUGAAAGUUUGCGGCUUAAACGUAAAAUUGCAAUUGAUACUGGGAGUAUUUAGUACAGGUGAGGUAGGGGGGAAUUGGUGUGUAGCGGGGGAA